rnacentral:rRNA from 1 species
CCUACGGGAGGCAGCAGUGAGGAAUAUUGGUCAAUGGGCGUACGCCUGAACCAGCCAAGUCGCGUGAGGGAUGAAGGUUCUAUGGAUCGUAAACCUCUUUUAUAAGGGAAUAAAGUGUGGGACGUGUACUGUUUUGUAUGUACCUUAUGAAUAAGGAUCGGCUAACUCCGUGCCAGCAGCCGCGGUAAUACGGAGGAUCCGAGCGUUAUCCGGAUUUAUUGGGUUUAAAGGGUGCGUAGGCGGCCUUUUAAGUUAGCGGUGAAAGUCUGUGGCUCAACCAUAGAAUUGCCGUUGAAACUGGGAGGCUUGAGUAUGUUUGAGGCAGGCGGAAUGCGUGGUGUAGCGGUGAAAUGCUUAGAUAUCACGCAGAACCCCGAUUGCGAAGGCAGCCUGCCAAGCCAUGACUGACGCUGAUGCACGAAAGCGUGGGGAUCAAACAGGAUUAGAUACCCGGGUAGUC